AAGGGUGAAAGAUGGAAAGAGAGUAGAGAAUAGGACGGGCAGAGAUUGGAAACAUGGGAAAGAUGGAAAGAGAAUAGGGGGAAAGAUGGAAAGAGAAGAAGGGGGAAGAUGGGAGACAACCAAGAUCCAUUAGACUGAUGAGGUCCUUGCAGCGGUUACAUGUGAACAUGGUUGUACCAGUCUUAUAUAAUUUCUGCAAGAUUGAGAACCUUUAGUUAUAAACAUUAAUGGGAUGGCACCAUUAAUAGUAACAGCUACAUUUUCUAGCCCAAAAGUCCCAUCAGCCAAAAAUGUAGAUGUCCUCCAGUAUAUUCAUGUGUGUUAUUGGUCUGUAACAUUAUUUUGUUUGCUAAAAAGAGUUAUUGGUAAAUCUGUUUGAUUUUAUGAUUUAUAAAAUGCUCUUACACACUGGUUGAUAAUAUAAGUAUGCCUAUCUAUUGUAGUUGUAUUGUGCAUGGAUUCAGAUUUUUAUUAGCUUUUAAUUCUAUCAGUUGCUGCAGAGUGUCCGAAAUUUUAAAAACCUAAACCUUGUUUCAGGUACAACACCUGGGAUUGGUUUGAGAUCGUGUGAUUGAUCUCAUCAGCUCUGUACAUACAUUUCUUUCAAUAGUGCAAAUAUUAACCACAACCAUUCUUGAAUUUUAAUCACAAGCUCCAGUCUAUUUUUCUCUUAAACAACAGGUUAUUUUACACCUGAGUCUAGAUGUCUAUGAUAAGAAGGUAUUCCAUGUUCUGAUGGACUAAUAAUGUCUAUUUCUUGCCACUUAUUUUCAGGGAAGUAUAUAGCUGUUGGAAAAGAUCACUGUUCUUUUAUAGCUCAUAAGCAUUUUCUCGUUUGCUUUUAUGCAGCUUAGGAGAAAUAGAAGGCACCAUGUCUCUGAUAUUUACCUUUUACUGGGCUCUAAGGAUGAUAAAAUCCUGGAAUGAGAGACAUGGUAUGAUUUAGCUCUCUUGUACUUAUGCACCUAUGCAUAGGUUCGUGUAUCCAACAUAAGAGCCAUACGUCCAUAUUCUGCUUUGGACUGGCUGGCAUGGUAUAUAUGACUAUUGUUUAUUUCUUAUGAAGAGUGUGACAUUUUUUAUGGGUGCUAUGAAGAUCAAAUUUUUAACUGUUUCUUACACCAUUAAAUUUCUACAAAAAAAACAUAUUCUAUUUGUAGGAAAACUAUAUGUAGCGAAAGGUAAGUCUGAAGAAGCUUUUACAUAAACAUGUUUCGAGUUUGAUAUGAAGUGCUAUUGUUCUUCAAGAAUUUGACAACAUGUCAUUGCCUUCGAUACGGUGCUUGAAUUAUGCGUUCGAUAGGACAGUUUAUGUGGACCGUUUAAUCUUGGGGUGCUCUACAAAGAGGUAGGUGAUCAGUGAGCAGCAGAAGUUGCUGAAUGUUUCCAGGCUGCUAGAUUUAUUGAAAAAAUAACACCUGUAGAAUCUUUCUGCUGAUAUUUGUAUCUAUUGGUGCUAUAUAAAGUUAGAAACCAACAGCUAUUGUUGUUUGUCUGUUAAAAUGUUUCAGUCAUAGUGAUGAAAAUACUGCAAAACUCCAUUCAUGACCUACUUUAGGAUGAUAUUAACACUAUAAUAACAUUUAUUACCAAAACAAUAUAAAUCUCUCUUUCUUUGAUUAGUGAAUCUUAAAUAUAUCUUAUUCUAUGCUUAAUAACUAAAACAAUAUCAACUUUUGUGACUGAAAACAGUAUCAACUUUCGGCUAUUUGAAUUACUAAAUAUCGCCGUUGCAUUAGCACAUGCAUAUUACUUGUGUUGUUUGUUUUUGCACAGUUCCGAUGCCAGUCCUUUGGGCUUGUCAGUGCACAGGAAGAGUGAGAUUUGUCCUUCCGCUCACCUUUGAAGUAGAAGGUUCCAUUUGUUUUUUCUUUUGUAUGUGUUGUUUCAGUUUAUCAAAGGGUUGUAAAAUUCAUAUGUAUAGGGCACUGUAAGAACUAAAUUUAAUCAGAGCAUAAGAAACUGAUAUAAAAAACAAGUUUUUUGGUUGCGUCCAAAAAGUUUCUAAUGAAAUUUAGUAAAGGCACAUGAACAAUCAUGAUUAAGUUCAAAAGGAAUUGAAGUAUUCAAUAGAUUGAAACGAGUACCUUAGUUGUCGUUUGCAUACAACGCAUGUAUUCACGAAGGCAUCCGAUACACCACGUUCUGAACAAACUUGGGCAAGAGAGCUAUCCACACCAAGGUAAAUAAGAUAUUAUUGGUAUUUCACAACUGAACCUGUUACCUAAUGUGACCAGUUGAUUUAGUGCUUUUGCAACAUGUAAGAGAACAAACAAAUGAGUGAUAUUCAGGAAUCAAGGAAAACAAAAAGUUGUCAAUGCACAGAGUUUUUGUAAUUCAUCUUGUAGAAAUUAAAUAUAGAAGAUUAGAAGGAUGGCUUUUGAAAUCAUAGCAAAACAUUGCCACGCCAUGAUCAAUGUCAUGGUAGUAUUUUGUUGUCUUGCCAUGUCUGUUGGCGCAGCCAAACUCUUCCCACAUUAUGGUAUUAACACGGUGGGCUUAUAGUUAGUAGAAUCAUCUCUUUCUAGUUCUUUUGAGGUUUAAGUAGUGCUUUGGACCUUUAUGCUCUCAUUGCUGGCUAUGUAUAUUCAGUAUUUUUUUACUUGCUGGUUCCAAAGUAUGGAAAUGUUCACGAGUUUUUAGAACUAUAUCUCCACAGUGGGACACUUAAGGAUAGGAAUUUACUUGAUAAACUUUUAGUGAUAUUAGUAGAUAAUGGGAAUUUACUUGGUACACAACUGUGCAAAUACACAAUACUUUAUUAUUUAACCUAUACUUUCAUCAUAUGGAUCUGCACAUAUAUAUAAUGAUUAAAUACUGUAUCUUGAUCAUAUGAUGGCUUACACACAUGAUAUUAUGGUAUUAUUUGCUGCAAGUAUAGUGCUAUGAAAUAAAUCAUCUUUGAGACUUCUAAGUAGUAUUGGACCUCCUAAUUUCGUUAUAAAUAAUUUCAGUAUUAUUUAUAGAUAAUGAUCACCCAACUUAAUUGUUUUUGGAUAGGAGCAACAAUCAAGUCAGAUCUUUUUUUAUUUUUUCAACCAGCUAUUUUGAAUCCAAAAACAGACUAAGUCGAUUUUAUGUGGCUAGAUGAUAAGGUUAAUAUCUGUAGCUAAUCUGGUUGUUUCUUUUGUAGGUUUUGGAGGGUUUUGCGUCUGGGGGAUCCUUGCAAGUAGCUCACAAUAUUAAACCUAGAUUAGAUUUAACAUCUACAGAGUGAACAAUCUAUGCUUAUCAAGUCUUUGGUAUUGAAUUGAUGCCAGAUUCAGAGAAGUUCAAAGGGAACAACUCUCAUCCUUAAUUGAGAUGCCUACUUCUGAAAGUCUUCAGACUCACCUUUCAGCAGGUUUGUUUUCUCUCACUAGGAUGAUGCCUUCAUUGCCUGGUCAUUGUUGUUGUCCCACCUGCAAUUAGCACCACCAGCUUCUGUUACUAAGGGAAAAGGUACUUCAAUAUAUGCAUGAUAAACUCAGCCCUUGCAUAUUAGAUAGCAAUUUCUAGCAUAUUCCUUUAAAGACUGGUACACCUUGUGGGUAGAAAAAAGAUGCUAAAUUCAUGCCUAGCAGAUGUUGCUGCGAUAGCUUCUAAGAAUGCCAUACAUGUUCAUUGCUCCCAUUCAUUUAAUCUCUUUGGCUAGAUGAUGACUAGACUGCCGUGUUCCUGCACGUACGUGGUUUACUUUGAAAUUUAGAUAAAAUAUCUUAAGAAAUUUCCAUAUGUAGGGGGUGUUAUUAUACAAUCACAUGUAUUCCCUCAAUUUAAGUUUAUAGAUUGCAUGAAAAAAGUGUGUAAUAAAUUUAUUAUCAUGCAAGGUAUAAAAUGAUUUGUACCAUUUUAAAAGUUGCUAUCAUGCAUGUAUUUGUGUGAUUUGUGUUGCAACGCUCAUGUACUUGGAUAUAACCAAUGACCAAUGCAUGAUCAAUUAGAUCUAUGCCUCCACAUUUUAAAGAUGAUGAAUGAUGUAUAUAUGUGGCCAUUGCAAUCUGAAAGAAACUAUGUACUUAUAUGCUGGAGUACAUCUGUACAUGGCAUACUUAAUAUUAUGUAGCACUUUUUAGUCUAAACAUUUUCUCUAUAUUUCUAACUGCAGCUUGAGGUUCUAAAUUCUGAACUAGGCUCACAUUUUUAAAAGUGUGAUAAGUUCAGUUGUGAAAACAUGUGUUAUAAUAAAUUUAGGAUUGUGCUGAAUCUAAAUUUUUGUCCCUUUUUUUAAAACGUGUAAAACAUAGUUUUGCAUAUAUAAAACCUAUUGGGUGAUGGAUUUGUAUUAUUGUUUUGCUAUAAUAAUCUUUUCAGACAUAAAGUAAAUAUUAGGUUUGUGUAAAAAUAAAGGCAUUAGACUGGCUCCCUUGCUAGCAGCCUAGCAUUAUAUUGUUCAAUCUACUCACAUGUUCUUGUUGUUAUUAAGGAAAUUCUAAUCUUGUGUCGUCAAGGAUAAAACUCUUGGAUGGAUAAAAUUCAUUGAGUAAUACGCUAGAUUUGUUUUAAAACUCAUAUAUCUUGCAUAAAUAAUAAUCUGCCUUUCAUAGUACAUGUAAGUAGUGAAAGUAAUUUUCAACGGUUUCAGGAGCAGAUGAACAUGCAAUCUACCUAUGCAUUCUCUAUUGAGAAUUAUGCCUACAUUAGUUUAGUUUUAUAGAGGAAUAGACUUAGUACAUUUUUUCUUUAAGUAUCGAUGUAAGACUAUCCAACCAUUUCAAUUAUACAUACUAUGAGUUCAUGUCAAUUCUAUUGGUAGGCAAAUUCAUUUUGAUUAAAGUAGAGUUUUCAUUUCCUAUCUCCUCUGGAAUAUAGGAAAUACGGAGGAUUUGAACCCUAUGGUUUUUGUUGUAACUUAUCUAUAAUUAUAGUAGUUGGAUAAUUCGGUUAAGCGACUUGCAUAUAUGGCCUAUUUAACUACCUUUGUUGACAACCAUGAUAAUUCCUAUGGAUUAGAUCCAAUUGAAAUCUUAGGCAUCCAAGCGCUGUUAUCUCUAACAUUAUAUACCAAACAUAAAAGAGCAAUAGCUCCCUGUAAUCACUAAGAUAUGGCAUGAAAAUCUCUUAGAUGUGGAAGCUUUUUCUUGAUUGUCACAAAAGGUGCUCUUGCUUAGAUGCGUACCAAUGUCAUAUCUCCAAUCACCCUGCUAAGGUAAGUAUGAUUUGUUUGCCACAUAGGAAAGUAAUCAGUGUGGUUUGAAGAAAUAAAAUGGCAUGCCAUUUUUAAUCUAAAAUGCAAAAACAACACUUUUAGUGUGUAUAAAGGGAGAUAGAUUGAGCUAAGUUUACAUGUUGUACUAUACCUUCAGAUUUCAGUUCUUUGCUGCAGAUAAUAGUGGCACAAGGUUCCUGGUUUGAAAAUUUUUUGUUACUGCAAAAAUAGUCAAUAAAACUUCGCUAUUGUUUGUGUUGCUUAUUUCCAUUAAAUUACUUCUCAGAAGCUAUGUUCCUUCUCUGUCUUGCUAGCUUGUCCUUUUCACUGGGUUCAAUUGUAAGAAAUGAAUUAUUCAGCCACUUAACCCUUGAAAGGACAUUUAAUCUUGGGAUCCCAUAAUCACCUACUUGCAUCUUAUUGUUUUCCAAUGCCUGGUCUAUUAGGAAAGUUGUCAAUGAUUCACACUUUCCUCUUUACGGUUAACAUAAUUUUGCUUAAGAUAUUUUGUCAGACUAUUUUCUUCUGCUGAUAAAAAACACAAGCAUCGUUAUUUUUUGUAUUCCUUUGCAUGUUUGUACAAUGUGAAAACUGUAAUCCCCUACCAAUAUUUUUUUCAAACCAAUAACAGGUACCAACAUUUUUUUUCUAAUUAGUGGUUAUUAGUACAUUUUGUAGCCUAAUAUAUCUGUAUAGCAAAAGCAAUAAUCAAUCUACAUAAACUAACACAAUUGUUAACAGUAGUUGUUGAAGAAUGCUAUCAAAUAGUGGGUUAGCUUUUGCUUUUGCUAUGAUGCCUUUUGAAUAACUAUUCUGCUUUUAAAUGAGCAAGUAAUGUUUUCGUUCCUCAGUGAAGAGAUAGCAAAUUGCUGAAUUCCUAUAACUGUUUUUGAUUGAAAAGAUGUAAUAUGCUUCAAUUGCUUAUAUGUUGCAUUGGCUUAAAUGAAGUUAUGAUUUGAGUUAGAGAAAUGUUAUUAACCUUCAUACUUGCAUCAGCGUUGGAGCAUGAAAGGGGAAGCGUGUUCUGACUCUAUUGGAUCAAGUCAGAUACUAAGCCUUCUACUACUACUUAGGUCAUAACAUGAGCGAUUCGGCAUAUUUGGAUUCCUUUCCUAUAUUUCCACUCAUGUGGUACUUCAUCAUACGAUUCAUAUAAGAUCAAUCUGCAGCGGAACCAGAACCACGCAGUGAAGCCAUGAGAUCUCAGGGGAAAUUUUAACUGCUAUUCUUCCUUUUCCCAUUAUGGUUCAUAAUUCUGAUAGUACCUUCUACCAAUGUGAGCUACUGAUAGUUUUGGCUGCAUCUCUAUUGUUGGCCUUAUUCGAGCAUGGUAUUCACAAAUAAUUUUUGUUUUCUUUGUGAUGAAAGAUUAAGAUAAAGCUUGACACCGUCUCUGAAAUGAAAAGUACUUCUAAUGUAGUGAGUUUUUCUUUGAAAGAAAGAUCAUUCUUAUUGUUGAAAUAUCCUUCGUAUUUUUUCAGCAAAAAAUAUCCUUCAUACAUUGUGAAGUAUGUAAUGAUCAAAAGUUCAGAACCUUAAGUUCAUGAUGUCCUUUUAUUAAUUAAAAUACUUGUGCCAUUCUGAUUCUAGAAGUAGAUUAAUCAGUUGUAAAAUCAAUGCUUAUUAGUAAGAAAUGGUAAUUAGCCGUGGAGCGUGUGCGUGAAAAGCGGAAAGAGUUUUGCACUAAAGAUCUGUCUGCUACUAACAGACCUAAAAUUUUGUAUAUAAUGACCAUGAAUCUGUGAUGUAUCAGUCUUGAUUAUAUUUUAUAGAUUGGCACUUUUCACAUUAAUCAUCAAGGUUUGCGUUCUAAGUGAAUAUACAUUAUUUUCCUUAGCUUAUUUCUGGUGGCCAAAUCUCAGGUUGAUUGUUUGCUGCUUCCAAAUUAACAAUUCAAUGUACUUGAUGUAUUCUACUUAACCUUCGCAUUUUUGGUAUUGUAACUCUGAAGUGAUUUAAGCCUGGUUUUUGGACAAAUGAUCAUCCAUUGAGGCUGCUACAUCGCUUCCAGUUUUGAUCUCCAUCGGAUGUCCUGUCUCUUCAGCAGGUCGUCCAUGAUUCAACCAGCUCGCACAUGAGGCAACAGUCCCCUCCAACCCAGGUUUGCCAGGUUUGAUUGCUUGGUGCAAAUAAGGAGUAUGCCAUGCAGAUCAAGGUGCAGGGCAUACGGAGAUGCAGUCGUUUUUAUGGCAUUCCUCAAAUCCAGCUUAAUAUUAUGCGGAUUUUAUCUAUUCUGCAUACAUUAUGCCUAUAAAAUUUUCCUUGAAAAUGCCAACAACAGAAGUAAUUUCAAGUGUCCUAAAUUGGGACAUGUUUCUCUUUAUAAGUAAAAUGUUCUCUCAAGAAGUCUCAUAUCAGAAUACCUGCUAAGAUAUUUCUGGGUGUUCCCUUAGAAACAUUUUCAUUUGUAAUAUAGUAGUAAAAUUAAUCAAGGUUGUCAAAUCAAGGCAUAAUAGUAAGAGUUAGUACAGAUAGUUAGCCCUCUUCUGCAGGCCGUGAAUUCAUUUUCUUUAUUAGUGCCACCCGGUGCUUAAUUUCUUACCCUGAUGUCUGACGAAAUUCAGUUUGGUUCUUUUCUGUAGUAGAACACCAGCGCUGAGAUCUGAAAACUACAACAAGGUACCAACUUUAUACCCAUCUAAACUCCAGUGAUUUCAGUCCGUUCUGUUUACCUAUUUUGUUUUUUCUCACCUUCACACUCUUAUGAGAUCUAAGAGCUACAACCAGGGCUGGGUUUUCGCUUUCGAUUUUGCUCAAAAUUUCGGCCAUUUCAGUAGCACCGAAAUUCCCAAAAUUUUGGAACUUUUGACACUUUUUGGACCGAAAUUAUUUAAAAUUUUAACACAAGUUGACUGAUUUUGAAUAAAUUUUGACCAAAUUCACAAAAAAAACUGAGAAAAACCAAAAAUCACUGUAUAUAUUUUGUUUUUCUACCUUCACCUGUGUUAUGCCAUGUAAUCAAUUGGGGAUGUGGUUUAGUUUGUUAUGCUGCUAAUGAAUGCCGUAUUUAAUUUUUGAAAUGGUCCUUGUUUUAUUGGUACAUGCAUGGAGAGGUGAAAAGAUGACUAUAAUUGAAAUGUAUGUGCUACAAACAACACUCCAUCAUCACCAUAUGUGAUCACUAGGAAGAAUGUCUCUUGAUAAAUUGAUGAUGAACCUUGAGUUCCACUCGGCACUCAAGGCUGUUGUUGGCCCGAUCUUUCGGUGAGUUCAUGAUAACUACGAUUUGGAAGAAACGUUGACGACUCGACUACAACCGUAUAAGACGUUGUGUUGCGCCUUUGCGAUCGAUACACCUCUCCGUGGGUUGUUGAUCUUGCCGGUGCAGAUCAACCUUAUUCCUACAAGCAAAUCGAAGAAACAAGCAAGAACAAGAUAAAAGCAAUCUGAAUUGCAAAUAGGAAUGAAUACACACGAUAAGUUGGAGUUUCGAAUACAAGCAGGUGGAUGGUCUAGCCGACAUGCGUGCUGCAAGGAAGUAGCAAUGGCUAAACUUUCAUCUAAACAAAACCCGAGAAACCCUGAAGGGGUACCUAGCUAUUUAAGAAUGUGGGAGAACGACCAAGAGGGUCCUAGGGUCGUGCUCCACCAGCUUGGGGCGCACCCCACAUGGGCCCCACUUGGGGCCGGGGUCCCAAACAAAGU